rnacentral:rRNA from 1 species
GGUGAACGCUAGCGGCAGGCUUAACACAUGCAAGUCGAGGGGUAUAGUUCUUCGGAGCUAGAGACCGGCGCACGGGUGCGUAACGCGUAUGCAAUCUACCUUUUGCAGAGGGAUAGCCCAGAGAAAUUUGGAUUAAUACCUCAUAGUAUGUGAGAAUGGCAUCAUUUUCACAUUAAAGUCACAACGGCAAAAGAUGAGCAUGCGUCCCAUUAGCUUGUUGGUAAGGUAACGGCUUACCAAGGCAACGAUGGGUAGGGGUCCUGAGAGGGAGAUCCCCCACACUGGUACUGAGACACGGACCAGACGCCUACGGGAGGCAGCAGUGAGGAAUAUUGGACAAUGGGCGCAAGCCUGAUCCAGCCAUGCCGCGUGCAGGAUGACGGUCCUAUGGAUUGUAAACUGCUUUUGUACAGGAAGAAACACUGGUUCGUGAACCAGCUUGACGGUACUGUAAGAAUAAGGAUCGGCUAACUCCGUGCCAGCCGCCGCCGUAAAAC